GACGUUGUGCCAGAUAAAUUGGGUCACUUUGAUGUAGUGGAAGAUGGGAAUACUUUUCCGACGUUU
rnacentral:tRNA from 1 species